ACUCAAAUGAAUAGACGGGGGCCCGCACAAGCGGUGGAGCAUGUGGUUCAAUUCGAUGCAACGCGAAGAACCUUACCCGGGUUUGAACUGUGGAGGAAAGUCUCAGAGAUGAGAUUCCCUAGCAAUAGGUCUUUACAGAGGUGCUGCAUGGCUGUCGUCAGCUCGUGUCGUGAGAUGUUGGGUUAAGUCCCGCAACGAGCGCAACCCUUGCUGUUAGUUGCUCGGCCGUAAGGUCAGCACUCUAAUAGGACUGCCGGUGAUAAACCGGAGGAAGGUGGGGAUGACGUCAAGUCAUCAUGGCCUUUAUGUCCGGGGCUACACACGUGCUACAAUGGCUGGUACAAAGGGUUGCCAAACCGCAAGGUGGAGCCAAUCCCAUCAAAGCCAGCCUCAGUUCGGAUUGUAGUCUGCAACUCGACUACAUGAAGUUGGAAUCGCUAGUAAUCGCGGAUCAGCAUGCCGCAGUGAAUACGUUUCCGGGCCUUGCACACACCGCCCGU
rnacentral:rRNA from 1 species